GGAACACGUGAGCAACCUGCCUUGAGUGGGAAACCGAUUGGAACGAUGGCUAAUACCGGAUGUGGCGCCUGGGGACCAUCCCCGGAGCGCUAAAGGGGCGACCCGCAAGGGGCUCCCGCUCAUUGAAGGGCUCGCGCACCAUCAGCUUGUUGGCGGGUAACGGCCCACCAAGGCUUACGGUUAGCUGGUCUGAGAGGAUGACCAGCCCCACUGGGACUGAGAUACUGCCCAGACUCCUACGGGAGGCUGCAGUCGAGGAUCAUUUGCAAUGGGCGAAAGCCUGACAAUGCGACGCUGCGUGGAGGAAUGAAGGCCUUCGGGUUGUAAACUCCUGUCAUAAGGGAACAGGCGAUCCUACCUAAUACGUAGGAAAGUUGAGUGUACUUUAAGAGGAAGGGACGGCUAACUCUGUGCCAGCAGCAGC
rnacentral:rRNA from 1 species